CGGGACGGGUGGAGUAACGCGUGGGCAACCUGCCUCGCACUGGGGGAUAACACUUAGAAAUAGGUGCUAACACCGCAUAGCGGGCGGGGGCGCAUGCCCCUGCCCUGAAAACCCAGGUGGUAGCGAGAUGGGCCCGCGUCUGAUUAGCUGGUUGGCAGGGUAACGGCCUACCAAGGCGACGAUCAGUAGCCGGCCUGAGAGGGUGGACGGCCACAUUGGGACUGAGACACGGCCCAGACUCCUACGGAAGGCAGCAG
rnacentral:rRNA from 1 species